CAGGGCGGGGACUGUUGCUAAGUGACCGCACCAACACGGAUGGCAGCUCGAAAGAGGGUUGUGCCUAUGUCCACCAGGCUGGCACUAACUUCAGCUGCUCUUCAGGACCACAUCACCAAAAAGUUGCUAUUGCCAGGUUUUUCAUUAUCUGGUGCUGGUCCUACAUGGAAACACAAAACAAAAUCAUCCACAAAGAUAAAGAAUGAUCAAAAUGCUAAUGAUGAGGAUUUGGGCCAAGAGAGAGAAUAUGUACUUAAUGAUACUCAAACUCCACUGACAUUAGCUGAGAGGAUGGGUUUAGUGGGUGGCCCAGUUGAAUGUCUGACCGAAGAGCAGUGGUCACUUGUAAAAGUUCGAUCUGUCCAACAGGGAGAAUCAAUUAACCCAUGUGCAAUAUGUAAGGAAGACUUUCAUCUCAAGCCACAGGUUUUGCUGUCUUGCUCGCACGUCUUCCACAGAGCUUGUGUCCAGGCUUUCGAAAAGUUUUCAAGACAAAAGUGUUGCCCAGUUUGCAGAAGACAUCAGUAUGAGACACGCGUGAUCCACGAUGCAGCAAAUCUUUUUCGACACCAAUGUGCCACCAAGAUUCAAGCAUGGUGGCGAGGAUAUACGAUUAGAAAAUGGUACAUAAAUGUAAUGAAAACCAGAUGUCCACAAGAGAAGCUACUCCGACGAAGAUUUUUUGAGGAAAAGACAAGUGUUUGAGGAGCUGGAGAGAAGGCACAUGUCUACGCCUCAGGAGCACCACUGGGACAGAAUACAGAGCCAGGUCAUCCAGAGAGGAGUGUGGGACUGCC